ACUUAAAUCACACAUUAUCCUUGUGCGGAAACAGGAACUAGAGGCCCAUUUUAGCGACCAGAGGCCCAUUUCCUCUUCUCUCCUAACUAGCGCCGUACCCGCGAGCCCAGAGCCGUGAAAGCUAUUUCUUUCAUUUCCGCUUUCCCUUCAUUUCUCAUGGAACUGAAACCCUAGUUUCUAUCAUCAACCCAGAACGUCAAAACAUGAAUCCAUCUCCAUCUCUGUCACAAACGGAACCCAGCCAUGGCGAUCUUUGAUUAGCCAUGGCGAUCUUUGAUUAUGGUCUCCACUUGGCGAUAUCUGAAAUAAAAAUGCAUCCAACCAUUUCUCCCUUUCGUUUUCACAACCGAAGCUCAAAUGGAAACGAAAUUCUGACUCAUGCAUGUAUGUUUUCUGUAUGUAGACUUGGGGAUCCGAGUAAGGCCAAGGGGAAUAGGAACUGCAAGGAGCAAUGGCUCACAAUUGAAGGUGCUGUACACACAGCAAAAAUGGCUGCAAGAACUCGGAUCUACAAAAUGAAAGACCUAAAAUUUCGUCAAUGCUCAUGUAAUUUUCUGUGACAUGGCUUUGAUGAAUGCCCACCUCUGUGUUGCCUGGACCACCCCCAAACUAUGUGUAAAACAAUAUUUUAAUGAAAUAUGAGAGUAAGUGAGCGAAAGAUAAA